UCAAAGGAGACUGCCAGUGAUAAACUGGAGGAAGGUGGGGAUGACGUCAAGUCAUCAUGGCCCUUACGACCAGGGCUACACACGUGCUACAAUGGCGCAUACAAAGAGAAGCGACCUCGCGAGAGCAAGCGGACCUCAUAAAGUGCGUCGUAGUCCGGAUUGGAGUCUGCAACUCGACUCCAUGAAGUCGGAAUCGCUAGUAAUCGUGGAUCAGAAUGCCACGGUGAAUACGUUCCCGGGCCUUGUACACACCGCCCGUCACACCAUGGGAGUGGGUUGCAAAAGAAGUAGGUAGCUUAACCUUCGGGAGGGCGCUUACCACUUUGUGAUUCAUGACUGGGGUGAAGUCGUAACAAGGUAACCGUAGGGGAACCUGCGGUUGGAUCACCUCCUUACCUGAAAGAA
rnacentral:rRNA from 2 species